rnacentral:tRNA from 1 species
GGGAUUGUGGCUCAGUGUUAGAGCACUUGCCUUGCAUGCAUGAGGCACUGGGAUCAAUCCUU